CACGUAGUUAGCCGGCGCUUCUUAUCCAGCUACCGUCAACCCACCCACAGGGGACAGGCCCGCUUCACUGGCGAAAGAGGUUUACAACCCGAAGGCCUCCAUCCCUCACGCGGCGUCGCUGCAUCAGGCUUGCGCCCAUUGUGCAAUAUUCCCCACUGCUGCCUCCCGUAGGAGUCUGGGCCGUGUCUCAGUCCCAGUGUGACCGUCCACCCUCUCAGGCCGGCUACCCGUCACCGCCUUGGUAGGCCAUCACCCCACCAACAAGCUGAUAGGCCGCGAGCCCAUCCCCCACCGAAACAAUAUCUUUCCCACACCCACCAUGCAGCAGGCGCAGAAUAUCCCGUAUUAGCCACACUUUCAUGCGGUUAUCCGGAAGAAGGGGCAGGUUACUCACGUGUUACUCACCCGUUCGCCACUCAUCCACACCCACAAAAGGAGCGCUUCACCGUUCGACUUGCAUGUGUUAAGCACGCCGCCAGCCGUUCGUCCUCGAGCC
rnacentral:rRNA from 1 species